AUUGAAUGCAAUUGAUGUUCACAGACUGACAUUCAUGGUGAUUUUGGGUUAUAAUUGUGAUGAUUAUGAUAAUAAUGCACAUGAUUGUCAACUCACAUGCAUCAUUACAAUCCAAUGGAUUCUCAAUGCUACCAGUCAAACCCAGCUAACCACAAAUUUUGUAUCAAUGAUUACAAUUAAUCUUGAUCACGCGGAGACUUAAUAUGGUUAACCAAAGACUCAUUGUGAUUAACCAAUUCAAUUUUAACAACUUGAAAAACCUCAAUUACAAAUCUGGUUCUAAAAAGCUUUACAAGAUUGUUUACUUUCUGGUUUUCUGGUUUUCUGGUUUAACCUUAAAAAAGCCUUAUAUAACUUUCAAUUUUAAAGUAAAUUGUAAACUGAUUGUUUAAUUGUCAUUUAAAGAAGCAAAAAUGUUAUUUGAUUAGUUGAAUCACAACCAAAUCAGCUGUUAACAGUUGAGGUUUCCAAGUAAAUCAUUUAAUAGCAUUUGUCUUCAACAAAAAUCAAUGUAUUUCCAACCUAAAUUGAAAGGUUUACCUUUUGUCAAAAGAUGUUUACCAGUUUACGCGCAGUUUAGAGUUAUUUUGGUAAUUGUUCAUUGACUACAAUUAAUAAUAUUUUUAACUUUGAUUAACCAGUAAUCUUUUGGUGCUCAUCUAAUCAUGCUAAUUGUUCAUGUUAAACGUUGAACAACACAAAAUGAAGGGAUAAAAAUAUUCAAGUUGGAAAAAUGUUUCCCAUCCAACAAUUUUGUUUGAUAUUUCAAGUUGAUUGUAAUCAAUUUACUUUGCAAUUGAGACAACAAUUUCAGCCUCUAUUUACUUACAAUCAAGGUUAAUCAUGAUAAUAUCUGCACAAUUUAAUAAUAGCAAUGAUAAUUAUUAACUUGUUAUCAUUUUAACUGUCAAUGAUAGAAGACCGUAAAAGAGUCAAAUGUUAAUCAUCACUAUCAUGUCUUCAGGGUACUUUGACCGAGAAGCGAUAAGUUUCAAAUUGUUUGAUGAAGAAUCGGAAAGAAUUAUUCUAAUCAUUUGCAAAUCAAUAGUAAAUCACCAUUAAAUCAAAGAUUAAUCAAUAAAACCAUUGUUUUUGUCUUUCAAUGCCUGUUGCUAUCACUUUUGGGUUAACAUUUGGUGCAGUUUUAUUUAGGUUUGAUCGAGAUUUCAUUUUGCUGUAGCUUUUCCAAGUUUUAAUUGUUUAAACUCAAUCUUUGAUCAUCUAAAUCAUUUCAAUUAUUUUCCUAGCAAUUAAAAUGGAUCGACAUGUCUGUAAAUCAUUACAGUGUUUGGUUAUUUCCUUUGCAAAUGUCAAGUUGACUAUCAAGUUUAAUCAUCUCUGUGUCUUGACGUGAUAAAAUGAACUCUUGAUUUGUGUUGUUGUUUUGGAUAAUAAUUGAUAAUAAACCUUUGCGAUUGAUAACCAGGUGACUGGAAUUAUUAACUCAGUCUCUUUCAUUGAACAUUUGAUUUUAGAUGAAGAUCAAGUCUGGUUUUUCAGUUAAAUUAAGUUAAAGUGUACAAGUUUUCAAUUUUAAUGAGUAUAAACAGAUUUAAUUGGAGUUCAUUCACUAAAUUAAUGGCUAGUGAAAGCAGAUGAAAACAGUUGCCAGUCAACAGAUUUUAUAAUGUCUAUUGGAUUCACAGUGAUUGUCGUUUAUUACAAUUAGUUGAUCAGAUUAGACCAAAGGUGAUCACACUUUUAAGUAUCCAUGAAGAACUCCUUAAAGACUAGAUAAUGAAUAUUUUAAGGUAACAUUUACAAUUUAAUAUUGAAGGGUUGAGAGGUUUAAUUUUGAUUUGACAAAACUUGAAGUUAUCCUUCAAUGUGUUCAAUCCAGGUAAACUGUUUAUUGCGAUCAAAUCAAUUUUAACAAACAAAAUAAUCUCCUUUAAUACGAUUGUUUUAAGCUUAACAACAUUUUCUUGUCAUAAAUAAUACGGCAAAAACAAUCCAUUGAUUCAUUUGCAACAAGUUAAGGUAAAAUAUUGUGUGACUUGAUAGUAAUCUGUCUGUAGAUAGAUUAUCAUGAUGAAUUUGAGAUCAGUUGAGUAUCGAGUUAAUACACAGAAACCUUGUAAUGGCUCUUUAGAUGUAUUAAUACCAAUUACUUCAUAAACUUGACAGAAUCAUUGAAUUCACUAAAAGACUUGAUUUAAAGCUUUGAGGUUAUCGAUAUCAACAUUUGGUCCAAACAUCAGACAAUUGUUGCUCAUUAAAAAGAUUAAUCUUUCAAAAAUUUUUCGUGAAAUCACAUGAGAGGUUUCCCAGGUUACACAAAAUUUCGCUCUUUUUUGCCUAAAAAUAUUCUUUUGUCAAGCCUUUCCUUUCUGGGCAAGAGUUACUUUCAUAUGUUAAUGUGAAAGGGUGAAAUCUGUUUUUAUCAUUUCUAAAUAGAUCCACAUUUCAAUUUCAAAUCGAGAGAGUAUUUGAACGUCCUUUUAAUGUCCGUUCCAUCAUGGUGGUGAUUGCAAUGACAAUCAUUGAGGCACCGAAGUUGCUUUUUUAUGUAAGCUUUUUUCUAACUGUUUGGGUUCAUAACUCAAGAACCAUUGAUGUUAGAGGACUGAGACUUGGAACUUUGCGAGUUGAAGUACUACAUUCACCAUGUGUUAAGGUAAUUCAAUGUCAUUCGUUAAUUUGACAUCUGAUCGACAUGAAAAGGUCAAGAAAGAAAGUUUUUUACUCUGAAUGACACUUUGUUGCUGAUGAAUAACAUUUAAUAUCGUGAAAUCAUGCCAUUUGAGCCUUUUUCAGCAAUUAAGUUCGAAAUAUUCUUUAUUUAAUUACACUUCGUGCUUAAAACUGUAAACUUUCAUUCAGAUACAAUGCACUUUCAAAGCUACAAAAUUUUACGUUGGAAAAGGUAAGAUUAAUGAAGUUCAGAAUCAGAUCAAAUUGAUUUUUUGUUGCAUCUUAAAGUUAUUUUUCUGAGUCAGAUGAUCCAGAGUAAUCUGUGACUCAGGUUUAUUAGUUAUGACUCAGAAAAGAUUGAGAAUGAUUUCAUAAAAAAAUCAAUUUUCUCGACUUUGAACAGUAUUUCACAUUAUUUAUGUUUUCAUUUACUUGAUCAACUAAAUGUUUUGAAUAAAGGAAUGAAUUUUGGAUAAUUGAUUGUAAUGAUUGACAUUUUAUAUUGUUUUGAAACUUUGAAUGGAACUACAAACUCUGAAAAUGGUCAAUUUGGUGAAAAUUUGGAUCGCUUUUGAACUGGAAAACAUUUUUGCUUUCAAAAUUUGAAAAUAAAAUUCAUCAGAAUCAAUUUCAGUUAUGAAAGUGUUAUUUUUUAUUUCUUUCAAGAUUUAAAAAUCUAAUUGAUUGUUUAACUUUGCGCCAAAACUAUUACCUAGGAAAAUGAGUAAUAAGUCCGUACUUAAAGCAACCAAGCAAUUUGUGCAUACAAUCAGACAAAAAUGAAUUAUUACUUUUUGAUUUCUGUGAACCUGAAAAGUACAUUUAAGACGCUUUGGACAAGCCAUUUGAACAAGUUUUACCUCUUUAAAUGCAUCAUCAAAAUGAUCAGAUUUGCUUUUUAUUUAUCACCAAAAAGGAUUGAAAUGUUUUCACUGAAAAAAAAGCAACAACAAAAAUUUACUUACCAAGUUUACUUAAAGUGAAAACACGAGGGAAAAUUAAAGUGAAACUUGAAGUGAAACAAGCAUCAUAUGACUUAACCAGUCUUUCCCAGGUAAACUCAAUUUGCUUGGUUUCAACGGUAUUGAAAUAAAUAACAAGUAGCUAAAAUGGUUUCCACUUCUAGCGGACCUUGAUGCCCAUCCACUAUAGCAACAACAAUCAUCAUCAUCAUCGUCAACAACAACAUAAGCAACAACAGCAGCAUGAAAACAUUUACAAGCAAAACAUCAACAAUGUUUACCUUAAAGGCAUCGUAACCUGGGCCUGAUGAAAGUUGGACUUAGGCGUGGAUAUUUCAAAGGUAUAACUAAAUAAGCAAAGGCCAGGAAAGAUGAUGGUAAAAGAUUGCUUUACUGAACAAAAAAAAGAGGGUCAAGGAAAUGGAUUGGCUGUGAAACUAAAAGGUGAAAACGCAAAGUGAGGCGAAAGUAUUGGCGAAACAUUUUGUUUUGCCCAAAAUAAUAUAAUAAAUCCAUGAUAAUUUUAAAGGUAACUUCAAUUAAGGAUGAAAGUUGAAAGGAAAAAUGUUGCUAAUAGUCAUUUUAUGUGUACAUUAAUACUUGUAAAAAUGUAUAUUAUAUAUUAAUACAUUCCCGUUACAAAUACCGGUUUGACCAGAUAUUUGGUCAUGUUGAACAUGCAAAAAAUGGGUAUGGGAAGAGACAUAUUUAUAAAACGUAAACAAUCAAUUUAACAUUGUAUUGGAUAAUCAUUAUUAUCAUCAUCAUUAACAACAAACAACAUCUCUGAUGUCAAUUCAAUCAUCAUUGUAAAAUAAUCCAACCUUUUACCAAGUUUACCAGAAAUUCAGUCAACAUUUGAAAACAGUAAAGCUUUUCAUUGUAACUUGCUUGACUCGCCUCAUCAACACCAUUUCACUUUCAUUGGCUCAUAAAAAUACUUUCACACUGACUUACUUUCAUCGUCAUCAUCAUCAUCAUCAUCUUCUUCUUCUUCAUCUUCUUCUUCAUCAUCUUUUCCUCAUCUUCAUCUUGUUUCAUUUUCUCACCAACUUGUAAUUUAAGUUUUUUCCUCUUACAGUGACUUUGCUAGUUAACCAGUUUUCUGGUCCAUCAAACCAUUAUUUAGGAUUAUUAUUUUGUUGCACUUUUCAACACUAACACUGUCAACUGACCGGUUCAUUGGUCAAUCUUGAAGUGUUUAAACAAACCAAGGUUACACUGGUCUAGAUAUUUAACCAUUUGUUUAUCAAAUAAAAUAAAACUGGUGCAAAACCUGAUUACCUUCAAUCUGAAAGUUUGAUCAUUUGUCAGAUCAAAUGCAUGUAAAUGAUGUAAACUUGAAACCGGAUGAUCAUGACGAUGAAUAUGAUGAUUAUUAUAAUGAUCAUUACGGUGAUCAUAUCAGAGGAUAACAUUAUUAGUAUUGAAUAAUUGGUGAUUCAAUUGAAAGUCAAUGGACGUGAUUUUGAACAUGAAACUUCUGGGAAACCAAAUUGAAAAGUCAAAUUGUUUGUUUCCCCAAGAUUAUUCAAUUGCAAUGAUAUGAAUUAAAUGUUACCCAAAACAACAGUUAACCGUUGAUUAAACCCAAAGUUCAUCGAUAUUGAAUAUCAAACAAUUUUUAUCGGUUCAGCUUUAUAAAAGUGAUAUUUUGGCUUCACUUCAACCUUUCAUAUCCAAUUAAUGUUAUACUUUUCCAAUGAUCAACAAUUCUCACUUGAUUAAUUCAGUUUUAUGCUCAUUUGGUUGACAAUUUAAUACAGCUGAUUACAAUAAUAAUAAUGAUGACGAAGGAAUCUUAAUCUUGUAUUAGCAGCUUAAAAUUGUAACCUCGACAUUAAAAAUUUUUAAGGAAAAUUGGAGAAACUAAAAGAUGACCUUUUAUAUUGACAACAACAGACAUGAAAGCAUAACUUUUCAAUUGAUAGCUACAGUUAAUAAUUAAUAAAUUGACCGAUAAACCUUGAUAAAUCUUAGCAAUUGAAGCCUCCAAUGUUGUAUAAUAAUUCAAAGUCUUAAACAAGCUCAAAAAGAUAUAUUUUGCACUUUAAAUGUCAACUGAGAAUUACAUGAAAAAGCAUUGAAAUACUCAUUGUUAAACACCAUUAUCAACCUCAUUUUGGUUUGCACCUUUGAGCUAACAAGUCAGUGAUUUACAGUAAAUGUGUGACCAGAUAUGAAAUACAAGCGACAAUUUGUAUCAAUUGCAUAUUCAGUCAUGAAUGAGCCAAUGAUAAUCCAAUAGACAGGUAAGCAAACAGCAAAAAUACACACAAAUUUAGACAAAAAAUGCUACUUUACCAACCUUGAAUUGAAAAUAAAGAUUAAAUGCUAUUUAACAAUGAAACAUUGAUGGAAGAAGUGAGAGGUUACAUGAUUUGAUCAUUAGCUUCUAUUCAUUUGAUUGAUCAUCAACAUCAUGCGAUUCACUCUAUUAAUAUCAUAGCAUUACAUGUAUGUCUUUACGCUGUGUUUGUGUGUGUGUUUGAAGCGCUUACAUCAGUAUAUUUUAAUGAUUCCCAAUCAUUAUGAUUAUCAGAUUGAAGGUCAUCUUUUUCCCUUUUAUUUCUUUCAUUAUUAUUCUUGAUCAUCAGCAAUCCAUUUAGAUGGUUUCAUUGAUUCCAAUUUACAUUGAAUAGCUGGUCCAAACACGUUCAGUUUAACACCUCAUAGUAAACUCUAUUGACUCCUAUUGAAAGAAAGCAACUUUUACAUGAAAACCGUUAAUCUAAAUAUUAUACACAAGUAUAUUGAAUCAAUGUUAUAAAUCAGUGUUGGUUAACUUACAUUAUUUUACAUUUUUGAAUCUGGCUUUCUUAUUACAGAUGAUUGGUGAAACAAAUUAACCGAUUAACCCGAAAAUUGGUUCAACCUUGAAUAACAGUGUAAAAAGAUAUACAGUAACUUAAGGAAGGAUAUUAGUUGAUUUGGGUUUUGUCUGGUUGAUACACAUACUUGGUUGACUACUGCUAAAAUUAAAGUGAUUAUAAUUAGAUUACUAUUUAAGAUGAUGUUUAAUGGUGAAAGGCGAUACUGAUAUACAUUAAAAAACAAAAAAGGUUAUUAAACUGGCAAAUGUAACUCUUUGGUUACAUUCGGGUUGUAAGUAAAUAACGUCCCCUUUCCUUUCCAUUGUUAUGCUUUCUGUUUCUCACCAAUAAGGAUGAGUGCAAACUCUAGCCCAAGGUUGAACCUUUAAUUUAAUAGCUUCUUUUUUUAGGCCAACAACUAAAUUAUCGCCUAUUUUGUGUUUAAUUUAAUCAAUCAUUGUGUAUAUUUGCUUUUAACAAUUGUAACCAAUUCACCAAAGGUUGAUAACCUAUGAUUAAAAAACAACAAAGGUGGAUUCUCGUAUUCUAAAUAUGGUCAUUUGGCUGGUGUUGAUUUUUACAGGCUUGUAAACAUUUCUGUUUCCCUUUGUUGGAAAUUCUGGCAACCCUUUUGUUUCCAAGUAAAUUGUUACUGUUGCUGUUGAUGGUUUUCCUCGCCGUAGGAAGAAAUAAAUCCUUUGGUCGACCCACAGUUGAUUAGGUUAAUGCUGAUGAUGUACACAAGGAGAAAAGAACUGAAUAACUCAGGAAACAAAACAAUUAACUUGAGAAGAAAAAACAAGGUAAUUCAAAGGCGGCGGUAACCAGGAUUAUGUCUUCUAUUGUUCUGUACUUCUAUGAUGACAACAAGAAGAUGAACAUAAAAAGCAAGAUGAAAAAGGAUAGGGUUGAACAGUCAAAAGUGGCCCACUAACAAGUAAAAAAAGCAAAUUUAAGGUUAAGUUCCGAGGAAACUGGUGUUAACGAUGUAACUUGAACCAGAGACUGAAAAUUGUGUUACAGUCUCAAUUGUGGCCAAGAAGAUGGUUAAUUAAGAUGGAAACAUUGAAACAUUUUGGUCUGAUCAUGUUGACCUUGUAUUUGUGCCUCAACUGCCGCUGCCAUUAUUGCGUUUUCUGCCAUCGGAAUGGUUUUAAUGGCUAUAAAAGCUACAUGUAUCCCGGGAUAGACCAAUGAAUCAAGCCUAACCCAAUGGAACAAAUGAAAUCACCUUUUAUUUCGUCAUUUUAAAUCUUAAAUCAUCUUCAUUAGGCCAUUAAUAAUUUGCUGUUCACUUUUUGCAGCAAGCAAGCUUGUAUCUCUGCGUUUGUUUGUUGCCAGGCACUUGAACAAAUUGAGUUGCGUUGGGUUAUUGUCAUCAUUGGUUUGUUAAAUUUUUCACAUCCAACUGCAUACAGUUUCCUUUUACUGUUCACAAUUCAAGGUUAUCUACAAUUCAGUUGGAAAAUAUGGAAUCCUAUUUUGUCAAAUUAAUUCCAACAGUUCCUUUUAUUCACUCAAUCCGUUUUUUUCAAUUUACUCAGUCUCUAUUAUCUCUAGCUGUUCAUCCCUGUUUAACGGCAGUUAAUUUUUCUAUUCCUAUUGAUAAAAUACUUUUUAAUCAAUAUUUCAAUUGGAUAUCAGCGUAACAUCAACACCAAUAAAAGCAUAACAAUUACGCACAAAA